rnacentral:rRNA from 1 species
UACGAAGGGGGCUAGCGUUGUUCGGAAUUACUGGGCGUAAAGCGCGCGCAGGCGGUUCUUCAAGUCAGGGGUGAAAGCCCAGAGCUCAACUCUGGAAUGGCCUUUGAGACUAGAGAAUUAGGGUACGGGAGAGGUGAGUGGAAUUCCGAGUGUAGAGGUGAAAUUCGUAGAUAUUCGGAAGAACACCGGUGGCGAAGGCGGCUCACUGGCCCGUUACCGACGCUCAGGCGCGACAGCGUGGGGAGCAAACAGG